rnacentral:rRNA from 1 species
GGGUUGUGAGGUUAAGCGACUAAGCGUACACGGUGGAUGCCCUGGCAGUCAGAGGCGAUGAAGGACGUGCUAAUCUGCGAAAAGCGUCGGUAAGGUGAUAUGAACCGUUAUAACCGGCGAUGUCCGAAUGGGGAAACCCAGUGCAAUUCGUUGCACUAUCGUUAACUGAAUACAUAGGUUAACGAGGCGAACCGGGGGAACUGAAACAUCUAAGUACCCCGAGGAAAAGAAAUCAACCGAGAUUCCCCCAGUAGCGGCGAGCGAACGGGGAGCAGCCCAGAGUCUGAAUCAGCUUGUGUGUUAGUGGAACGGUCUGGAAAGUCCGACGGUACAGGGUGAUAGUCCCGUACACCAAAAUGCACAGGCUGUGAACUCGAAGAGUAGGGCGGGACACGUGGUAUCCUGUCUGAAUAUGGGGGGACCAUCCUCCAAGGCUAAAUACUCCUGACUGACCGAUAGUGAACCAGUACCGUGAGGGAAAGGCGAAAAGAACCCCGGCGAGGGGAGUGAAAAAGAACCUGAAACCGUGUACGUACAAGCAGUGGGAGCACCUUCGGGUGUGACUGCGUACCUUUUGUAUAAUGGGUCAGCGACUUAUAUUCUGUAGCAAGGUUAACCGUAUAGGGGAGCCGCAGGGAAACCGAGUCUUAACUGGGCGUUAAGUUGCAGGGUAUAGACCCGAAACCCGGUGAUCUAGCCAUGGGCAGGUUGAAGGUUGGGUAACACUAACUGGAGGACCGAACCGACUAAUGUUGAAAAAUUAGCGGAUGACUUGUGGCUGGGGGUGAAAGGCCAAUCAAACCGGGAGAUAGCUGGUUCUCCCCGAAAGCUAUUUAGGUAGCGCCUCGUGAACUCAUCUUCGGGGGUAGAGCACUGUUUCGGCUAGGGGGUCAUCCCGACUUACCAACCCGAUGCAAACUACGAAUACCGAAGAAUGUUAUCACGGGAGACACACGGCGGGUGCUAACGUCCGUCGUGAAGAGGGAAACAACCCAGACCGCCAGCUAAGGUCCCAAAGUCAUGGUUAAGUGGGAAACGAUGUGGGAAGGCACAGACAGCCAGGAUGUUGGCUUAGAAGCAGCCAUCAUUUAAAGAAAGCGUAAUAGCUCACUGGUCGAGUCGGCCUGCGCGGAAGAUGUAACGGGGCUAAACCAUGCACCGAAGCUGCGGCAGCGACACUAUGUGUUGUUGGGUAGGGGAGCGUUCUGUAAGCCUGCGAAGGUGACCUGUGAGGGUUGCUGGAGGUAUCAGAAGUGCGAAUGCUGACAUAAGUAACGAUAAAGCGGGUGAAAAGCCCGCUCGCCGGAAGACCAAGGGUUCCUGUCCAACGUUAAUCGGGGCAGGGUGAGUCGACCCCUAAGGCGAGGCCGAAAGGCGUAGUCGAUGGGAAACAGGUUAAUAUUCCUGUACUUGGUGUUACUGCGAAGGGGGGACGGAGAAGGCUAUGUUAGCCGGGCGACGGUUGUCCCGGUUUAAGCAUGUAGGCUGGUUAUCCAGGCAAAUCCGGAUAAUCAAGGCUGAGGUGUGAUGACGAGGCACUACGGUGCUGAAGUAACAAAUGCCCUGCUUCCAGGAAAAGCCUCUAAGCAUCAGGUAACAUUAAAUCGUACCCCAAACCGACACAGGUGGUCAGGUAGAGAAUACCAAGGCGCUUGAGAGAACUCGGGUGAAGGAACUAGGCAAAAUGGUGCCGUAACUUCGGGAGAAGGCACGCUGGUGUGUAGGUGAAGUCCCUGCGGAUGGAGCUGAGACCAGUCGAAGAUACCAGCUGGCUGCAACUGUUUAUUAAAAACACAGCACUGUGCAAACACGAAAGUGGACGUAUACGGUGUGACGCCUGCCCGGUGCCGGAAGGUUAAUUGAUGGGGUUAUCCGUAAGGAGAAGCUCUUGAUCGAAGCCCCGGUAAACGGCGGCCGUAACUAUAACGGUCCUAAGGUAGCGAAAUUCCUUGUCGGGUAAGUUCCGACCUGCACGAAUGGCGUAAUGAUGGCCAGGCUGUCUCCACCCGAGACUCAGUGAAAUUGAACUCGCUGUGAAGAUGCAGUGUACCCGCGGCAAGACGGAAAGACCCCGUGAACCUUUACUAUAGCUUGACACUGAACAUUGAGCCUUGAUGUGUAGGAUAGGUGGGAGGCUUUGAAGCGUGGACGCCAGUCUGCGUGGAGCCAACCUUGAAAUACCACCCUUUAAUGUUUGAUGUUCUAACGUUGGCCCCUGACCGGGGUUGCGGACAGUGUCUGGUGGGUAGUUUGACUGGGGCGGUCUCCUCCCAAAGCGUAACGGAGGAGCACGAAGGUUAGCUAAUCCUGGUCGGACAUCAGGAGGUUAGUGCAAUGGCAUAAGCUAGCUUGACUGCGAGCGUGACGGCGCGAGCAGGUGCGAAAGCAGGUCAUAGUGAUCCGGUGGUUCUGAAUGGAAGGGCCAUCGCUCAACGGAUAAAAGGUACUCCGGGGAUAACAGGCUGAUACCGCCCAAGAGUUCAUAUCGACGGCGGUGUUUGGCACCUCGAUGUCGGCUCAUCACAUCCUGGGGCUGAAGUAGGUCCCAAGGGUAUGGCUGUUCGCCAUUUAAAGUGGUACGCGAGCUGGGUUUAGAACGUCGUGAGACAGUUCGGUCCCUAUCUGCCGUGGGCGCUGGAGAAUUGAGGGGGGCUGCUCCUAGUACGAGAGGACCGGAGUGGACGCAUCACUGGUGUUCGGGUUGUCAUGCCAAUGGCACUGCCCGGUAGCUAAAUGCGGAAGAGAUAAGUGCUGAAAGCAUCUAAGCACGAAACUUGCCCCGAGAUGAGUUCUCCCUGAGACUUUAAGUCUCCUGAAGGAACGUU